rnacentral:rRNA from 1 species
CAGGUUUGACAUCCUGCGAAUUUCUCCGAAAGGAGAGAGUGCUUUUAUUAGAGCGCAGUGAC